rnacentral:rRNA from 1 species
UGGGGAAUAUUGGACAAUGGGGGCAACCCUGAUCCAGCGAUGCCGCGUGUGUGAAGAAGGCCUGCGGGUUGUAAAGCCCUUUUGGUUGGAGAGAGAGUUAGCGGUUUAAGAGAUAGCUAAUGAGACAUGUCCGACAGAAAAAGCACUGGCUAACUCUGUGCCAGCAGCCGCGGUAAUACAGAGAGUGCAAGCGUUAAUCGGAAUUACUGGGCGUAAAGGGCGCGUAGGUAGGCCACGACGUCAGAUGUGAAAUACCCGGGCUUAACCCGGGGAGGUCGUCUGGGACUCGUAGUCUAGAGUCUGGGAGAGGUCAGUGGAAUUUCCGGUGUAGCGGUGAAAUGCGUAGAUAUCGGAAGGAACACCGGUUGCGAAGGCGGCUGACUGGCCCAAGACUGACACUGAGGCGCGAAAGCGUGGGUAGCGAACAG